GGGCUCAUGGUCUAGUGGCUAUGACGUCUCCCUGACACGGAGGAGAUCGCCGGUUCGAAUCCGGCUGAGCCCAC
rnacentral:tRNA from 1 species